UUUACUAGUGGCUACUGAUUCUAACAAACUUGUCACAACUAUUAAUUCCAGUGGCCUUCUUGUUCCGAAACAUGACGAAAUUAACUAUAUCUCCUUUUGCAGGGAUUUUCUGGAGCAAAUAGGGAACCCGCCGGUCCUCCAUGAAAGGAGGGGCACAAAUGGGGUUGCGGACUUGCUAGCAAAGAGGGCAAUAAGUUAGGAAGUAGCUGUUUUU
rnacentral:lncRNA from 1 species